rnacentral:rRNA from 1 species
GAUUCCCCCAGUAACUGCGAGUGAAGAGGGAAGAGCUCAUCAUUGGAAUCUGACAGCGUUACGCUGUCCGAGUUGUAGAUGAGGAGUAGUCCAUCUGGACUGCAUGGCGUCCAAGUACAAUAGGCCGUCAGUGGGACAUCAUAGAGGGUGACAAUCCCGUCCUUGAUGCCAAUGUGCAAGUCCGUUACGAUGGCUAUCUCAGAGAGUCGAGCAGUUUGGGAUUUGCUGCUUAAACAUGGGAGGUAGAUUCCUUCUAAAGCUAAAUACAGGCAAGAGACCGAUAGAGAACAAGUACCGCAAGGGAAAGAUGAAAUAGAACUCUGUGAAGGGAGUCAAAAGGCGUGAAAUUGUUGCGAGAGAAGCGAUUCAAGUCAGCGUAGCUAGGCCCAUCAAGCCUCUUUGUGCUUUGGACUAGCUUUGCCAGCGGUCUUGUCCCUUAGAGACUUGACUUUUUUUUAUGAUGUCCAGCCUGGUAUGCACAGGUAGCCCCUCCUCCU